UCUUCUCCUUUCUCUUUUUCUCUGGACUGUGCAUCUUCGCAUGCGGCUGGUCGCUUGGUCACAGCCAGCUUGCCGAGGCUGCCGCCGUGCGUUCUGUCGGCUUGCUUCUGUAUCCUCGUCCAGAUGGUGGCCGUUGGGCUGCUGGGACUGCCAACCUGCAGCCUGCUGGCUCCGACGUUGGGAGAUCGCCAACACCUAC
rnacentral:lncRNA from 1 species